GAAUUGAACCCACAACACUUCAGUCCUCUGGCUGAUGAUCUAACUGCUAAGUCAAACCAGUCAUGGCUGUAUGCAUUAAAUUUGGUUAUUCUCUCUUGCCAAUCCACCCUAUAUCUACUUGGACCAGCUGAAAGAACCUUGAGGAUAGAGUUUCUUCCUCCCCCACAGUUGGUGCUAAGCAGGACAAAGUCACUGGCUGGAGCCCAGCACUUCCCCACAUGGCUGCUGCAGAUAAGGAGAUCUGGGGGCACCUGGCAGAGGCCGGCAGAAGCCAGGUCUCCUCAGAGGCAGCUGCUGAAUUAAAUAACACCUACGUGUAAUGGCCUCUGGUGGGAACCAUGCCGUCAGCUUCCCAGCACCCCCUGUGCACAUGUCCCUUGUACAGACGCACUUCCUCCCAGUCUCUAAGCUGAGAACUCCAAGUAGUAAGAGACACAAGACAAGGAUGGGAGAGAAUGAGCCUUUCUGAGAGCCUACUCCUUUGCUGAAUGCCACUUUGAAAGGAAAGAAGAAGUCGAACGGCAAUUUCCAGUCGAUUCUGGGUUGGCCCCGUGGAGGCUCUGGCUUCUGGUAACACUCAUGAGGGACUUGGCCCAAGAACUAAUGUAACUUCUGAGGCACCGUAAGACUGCAAGACAAGGACGGCCAGCUUAGAUGGAAGCCGUGGAGGGAAUCCCGAUUCUAGCCAGGCAUCAAGACGGGCUGAGACUAACCAGACAAAGGAGAAUAACACGUAUUUCAGAUCAUGAACUAGGACAAAUUCCUCUUUGGCUCAGGUGUGUAACUCAUGACUGAGCUGCAAGAGUUCUUUAUUCCACAUACAAGAAUGUUACCAGGAGAAGCGCCCUAACCGUGAAGCGAAUGAUGAAGUGUUGCUGUAAGGAAGCGCCUGGCUCAACAGUCAGGUUGGUUUGUCCGAAACUGACAGAGACUUUCUGGAUCCCAA